GCCGCGCGGCCGGCCCCGGGAACCGCGGCGGGGAGGGGAGGAUGCUGCGAGGCGUUGCCAGCGGAGUGAACCUGCCGCCGCCGCCUCCCCCUCCACCCUCGGAGCCCGGCCGGGGGAGUCGGGCCGGGCCGGGGAGGAGGAAGUUGCGGCCCAGCUGGGACAGCAGCAGGUGGGAAGCUGCGCGCCCGGCUGUUGCGGCUGCCUGAUUGCAGCCUGGCCUUGGGCAAAGCUUCCUACUCCGUCUGGAGCCCCACACACUUCCCGGUUCCCCCGCUCGGGGGCCGCUUGCCCUGCGUGCUCCUCGAGGGGCCUGCGAGGUGCCAGCGCCAGGGAGAGACAUUUACCGCCGGGGCAGGAUUGCUCGUCGGCCCCGGCACGUGUCGCUCUCCCUUCCCUCUCUGCCGGAGCCCCUCGGCCCUUGGAAGUCCCCCGGGGAGGCUGCAGCGCCCGGAGAAGCCGCAGAGUCAAUGGGGCGAGGGACUGGGGCGGGCGAGCAGAGCACCCAGGAUUGAGACGUGCGCAAGUGCGGUCACUGCAGCGCCGCUUGGCUGUUUCUUCUCCCGACAGUUCGCGAAUUACUUACAAGGAGCCUAGGCUUCUCUGAAGGGUGGACGGCUCGUUCCCUCUCGCCUUGUCCGCCGUCGAUCUCUCCGCCGCCGCCCGGCACGCUUUGCUGAUCUAAAAUCAGAACAAUUAAGAGAGUAAUGAUUUUUUUGGAAUAGCAACUCCUACAGACACUCAGAUCUGCCCUCGCUUCAGCGCCUCCCAGCCCUCAUUCCCAGCAGCCAGGCGAGAGCGCGCAGACCCCUAAAAAGCAACUUGUGUUACCCGGGUCUGGAUCCUGGAACUUUAUAAACUAAUCCGUGUGUGUGUGUAAACCGAAGAUCCAUACAUUAAUUCAAGUCCUACAUAAAGGGGAUCGGUACCAAAAAAUAGCCGGUGAUCCACGCGGAAUGCUCUGAAUUGUAUUACUACCACGAUUUAGCAUUGAAUUCAUUCUGAAAAUACAGCUCAAGACCUGCAUGAUUCCAGCUCCACAGGCUCCACUGAAAAGCAUUGCCUAUCAAAGCAACACACAGAAAAAGCACCAAACAUGCUUGAUAAUAUAAAACCACGCCAUACCCCCACAGAAUGAGACAAUCCAGUCAGCAAGAAAAAAACAAUCAUUGUUGGAAUGAUUUCUCCAUAAUGGAAAGCAAUUCUCUGUGAAUUGACUUACAGGUCAUGACAUAAAACCAAAGAAACAAAGAAAGAACUCUAAGCAUUGACAGAUGUUCUGUGCUCGCUCCUGCCUCCUGAACCCCUCCGAGUCUCCAUCAGAAGGCAGCCUGACCUGCAGCCCCUUUCAAGCAACUUAGGAACUGGAGAGCUCUCAUACAAAAGGUUUUACCCCUAAUUCCACUGAAGACCCCCUCGAACCAAGAAAAAAUUUUCUCACAGGAGAAUUUAAGAGAGUCUAUGGAUUCAUGCUCGAUUUCAUAAUUUCCUCUCUGUACAAAAACCAGGGUAUUUAUUUCACUUACGUAAUUUCCAGGGAAUCAGUUGCAUGACCUGACUUGUAUUCUGUUGGUCUACUGAGGGGACCUUACCGUCAGUCACCCUUGGUGAGAACAUACCCAAGGGCUGAUAUAUGACUGCAAAGGAACUUAACAAUUCCUGGAAGGAAAAGGGUUAAGAGCCAGUAAAAACAGCAUAAAUUUACACAUGACCUAGUGCGAUUACACUUUUAUUCUCUUCCUUGGAAGAAACAACAACAAUGACAACCUCCAUAACUAAUGCUUCUGGUCUAAAAAACCUUCUCCCUAAAGGACAUGUUUUCACCCACUACCGAUGAUCUCAACAACUUUCUGGAUAGAAAGGACCUAUAGACAGAGAGAUGUACCUGCCGGAAUUUUUCAUCAGCUGAAGAACAGGGGCAUUUGCUGCCACAGAGAGAAGUUGCUUUUUUGCCUUUAGCCAUGGAUGUAUCAGGGUGGUCAUGUAUUCACCUGGAGAGCCCACAGAUACCACUGACACAGCAGCUGCUCUGACAAUAGCCCAUCAAUUGUACUCUCUUCUCUUUCUCCCCUCUCCUCCUCCUUCCUGCUAUCCACACACAAAUCCUUCAAGGAAAACCUCUACAAUGCUUCCUGACAACAGGGCUGAAAUAUCUGGAGUAGCGGAUACCUUAGAAGGGCUAUCUUGGAGACUUCGGAAUGAAAUUGAUGGUAUUAGAAGUGCUGAUGAAGAACUAAUUUAAAUGGAAAAGGUAGACAUCCAGAAAAAAGUAAACAUUUAGAGAUAGCGUUAAUUGGAAGAUUUUUAUUUUAAAAUCUAUUCUUAAAAAAAAAAAAAAACACUUCAAUUUUUUUGUGUGGAGUGACUUUCCUUGCACCGUACAUAUGGGCUAUUCUAAAAUACAUCUCUCUCCUUUUAUUCAUGAAAAAUAAUACGACUAAGAGAAUUAUUGAUGGAGAAGUAUCUGGGUCAGGAAAAUGACCCAAAACUGAGAUUUAUGCUUUACUGAAGAAUAUCCUUAUAUUACUAGACCUGUAGAAAAGAAAACUCUGCAUUUUUCUAAUAUAUUUAAGUAAGGGCACCACAUGUUCCCUUCUGGAAAGAAUAAUAAGAGUGUGCAAACUGUGUCCACAGGCCAAAUCAAGCUCACAACUUAUACAUACAGCUCGUGAACGAAGAAUGUUUUUACGUUUUUAAGGUAGCAAACAAUCAAGAGAGGAAUACUAUUUUGUGACAUUUAAACAUUUUAUGAGAUUCAAAUAUAUGUAUUCAUGAAUAAAGUUUUAUUGGAACACA